GACGAACCGUACGAACGUUAUUCGGAAUCACUGGGCUUAAAGGGUGCGUAGGCUGCGCGGAAAGUUGGGUGUGAAAUCCCUCGGCUCAACCGAGGAACUGCGCCCAAAACUGCCGUGCUCGAGGGAGACAGAGGUGAGCGGAACUUAGGGUGGAGCGGUGAAAUGCGUUGAUAUCCUAAGGAACACCGGUGGCGAAAGCGGCUCACUGGGUCUCUUCUGACGCUGAGGCACGAAAGCGUGGGUAGCAAACAGG
rnacentral:rRNA from 1 species